rnacentral:rRNA from 1 species
GGGUCAGUAGGUUGGGCGUGCCACCGGUACGUACUGGUCUCACUGAUUCCUCCUUCCUGAAGGACCGUAAUGCCAUUAAUUUGGUGUUGCGGGGUAACAGGACUGUUACUUUGAAAAAAUUAGAGUGUUUAAAGCAAGCUAACGCUUGAAUACAUUAGCAUGGAAUAAUGAAAUAGGACGAUCGAUCCUAUUUUGUUGGUUUCUAGGAUUGACGUA